rnacentral:rRNA from 1 species
CACGGAAUUAGCCGUGGCUUAUUCCUCAAGUACCGUCAGAUCUUCUUCCUUGAGAAAAGAGGUUUACAGCCCAGAGGCCUUCAUCCCUCACGCGGCGUUGCUCCGUCAGGCUUUCGCCCAUUGCGGAAAAUUCCCCA